AUGCCAGGUGUACCGACGGAAUUCGCCGAGCACAAGCUACAUGUCCGAUCUGAUGUGAAGCCCGUCAGGCAGCCCUUGCGCCGCCUGUCAGAAGAGAAAAAAAGAGUUGUUGGGGAAGAGAUAGCCCGACUCCUAGCGGCCGGCUUCAUUAUGGAGGUGUUCUUUCCAGAAUGGCUGGCGAACCCGGUCCUAGUGCUGAAGAAGAACAAGCAGUGGCGGAUGUGUAUCGACUACACAAGCCUCAACAAAGCUUGCCCCAAAGAUCCGUUUGCUCUGCCAAGAAUUGACCAGGUGAUAGACUCCACAGCCAGAUGCGAGCUGUUGAGCUUCUUAGAUGCAUAUUCAGGAUAUCACCAGAUCAAGCUGAACCCGGCGGACAGACUGAAGACUGCUUUCAUCACGCCGUUUGGAGCCUUCUGCUACCUGACUAUGACGUUCGGCUUGAGGAACGCCGGCGCCACCUUUCAGCGUUGCAUGCAGAAGUGUCUCCUCAAGCAACUCGACAGAAAUGCCCACGUCUACGUGGAUGAUGUGGUAGUGAAGACGGAAAAGCGUGGAACAUUGUUGGAAGAUCUCCAAGAAACCUUUGAGAAUCUGCGCCGAUUCUAG
rnacentral:rRNA from 1 species